rnacentral:rRNA from 1 species
UAACACAUGCAAGUCGAGUGGGAAACGACGGGGAAGCUUGCUUCCCCCGGGCGUCGACCGGCGCACGGGUGAGUAACGCGUAUCCAACCUGCCUCUGACUGAGGGAUAACCCGUCGAAAGUCGGCCUAAUACCUCAUGGCAUCGUCUGCGGGCAUCCAACGACGAUUAAAGAUUUCAUCGGUCAGAGAUGGGGAUGCGUCUGAUUAGCUAGUUGGCGGGGUAACGGCCCACCAAGGCGACGAUCAGUAGGGGUUCUGAGAGGAAGGUCCCCCACAUUGGAACUGAGACACGGUCCAAACUCCUACGGGAGGCAGCAGUGAGGAAUAUUGGUCAAUGGGCGAGAGCCUGAACCAGCCAAGUAGCGUGCAGGAUGACGGCCCUAUGGGUUGUAAACUGCUUUUAUGCGGGGAUAAAGUGAGGGACGUGUCCUUCAUUGCAGGUACCGCAUGAAUAAGGACCGGCUAAUUCCGUGCCAGCAGCCGCGGUAAUACGGAAGGUCCGGGCGUUAUCCGGAUUUAUUGGGUUUAAAGGGAGCGUAGGCCGUGGAUUAAGCGUGUUGUGAAAUGCAGGUGCUCAACGUCUGCACUGCAGCGC